rnacentral:lncRNA from 1 species
GGAAAAGCGCGCAUUGGUGAUGGUGGUGACGCAGCUGCUGCUGCUGCUGCUGCUCUGAGGGGAUCAGAUGCAACGGAGGGGGCUGUACAGGCCGAUCCCUCCCAUCGGCGGCGGCGUUUAUUGGCGACGACGACGAUGGCGAUAGUUGGGACAAGGCUGCCGCCACUGGGCUGGGUGCUGCCCAAGCACUCUCUUGGCAGAAUGCCGAUUGCGAC